UACGUAGGUGGCAAGCGUUGUCCGGAAUUACUGGGCGUAAAGGGAGCGUAGGCGGCUUUUUAAGUGAGAUGUGAAAUACCCGGGCUUAACUUGGGAAUUGCAUUUCAUACUGGAUAGCUAGAGUGCAGGAGAGGAAAGCGGAAUUCCCAGUGUAGCGGUGAAAUGCGUAGAGAUUGGGAGGAACACCAGUGGCGAAGGCGGCUUUCUGGACUGUAACUGACGCUGAUGCUCGAGAGCGUGGGGAG
rnacentral:rRNA from 1 species